rnacentral:lncRNA from 1 species
GAGGUGGAAGAGGUUGUGUUAGGACUGGUUCUGAUUGAUUUGGUUCCUCAAGUUCUUUAGCUCAUUGCUCUUGAGAGAUAUUCUCCUUGAGCUUAAUUAUUCUUCCGAUGCCACCAUCUUGAAUAAACUAUUUUUCAAGAAAAAUAGUAUUUCGACUCACAAUCAUAUUGUGGUCUUCCGAAAUAUAAAAAUAGUAUCCUAAUGACUCUUUAGGAUAUCCUACGAAUCGAGCUCUAAAAGACCUGAACUCUAACUUGUCCGUCUGCUGUCUCUUGACAUGAGCCAGACAAGCCCAAAUUCUGAGAUG